UUUUUUUGUGUUUUUGGA
rnacentral:sRNA from 1 species